rfam:Hirsutella minnesotensis 3608 unplaced genomic scaffold MNSD_Scf_128, whole genome shotgun sequence.
GGGGGGAUGGCGUAGUGGUAGAAGCGCCUGGAAGGCCCCGCAAUUUAUGCGAGGUCGUGGGUUCGAAUCCCGCUCCCCUCA